rnacentral:rRNA from 1 species
AAUUUUGGACAAUGGGGGAAACCCUGAUACAGCCAUCCCGCGUGUAUGAAGAAGGCCUNAGGGUUNUNAAGUACUUUUGGCGGAGNCGAAAAGGCAUCCCCUAAUACGGGAUGCUGCUGACGGUAUCUGCAGAAUAAGCACCGGCAAACUACGUUGCAGCAGCUGCGGUAAUACGUAGGGUGCAAGCGUUAAUCGGAAUUACUGGGCGUAAAGCGUGUGUAGGCGGUUCGGAAAGAAAGAUGUGAAAUCCCAAGGCUCAACCUUGGAACUGCAUUUUUAACUGCCGAGCUAGAGUAAGUCAGAGGGGGGUAGAAUUCCACGUGUAGCAGUGAAAUUCGUAGAUAUGUGGAGGAAUACCGAUGGCGAAGGCAGCCCCCUGGGAUAAUACUGACGCUCAGACACGAAAGCGUGGGGAGCGAACAGG